rfam:Salmonella enterica subsp. enterica serovar Macclesfield str. S-1643 chromosome, complete genome.
AUGAGUAGGUGUCUGGCAUCUGACAAGAGGCGAUGAUAUCUGCCAUAACGGUGAAGCAGACGUACUGUCGGGGGCGUUACAAUCACCAGCUUAGAUAU